GCAGUCGAGCGGUAACAGGGGUAGCUUGCUACCCGCUGACGAGCGGCGGACGGGUGAGUAAUGCAUGGGUAUCUGCCCGGUAGUGGGGGAUAACUCGGGGAAACCCGAGCUAAUACCGCAUACGUCCUACGGGAGAAAGCAGGGGAUCUUCGGACCUUGCGCUAUCGGAUGAGCCCAUGUCGGAUUAGCUUGUUGGUGAGGUAACGGCUCACCAAGGCGACGAUCCGUAGCUGGUCUGAGAGGAUGAUCAGCCACACCGGGACUGAGACACGGCCCGGACUCCUACGGGAGGCAGCAGUGGGGAAUAUUGGACAAUGGGGGAAACCCUGAUCCAGCCAUGCCGCGUGUGUGAAGAAGGCCUUCGGGUUGUAAAGCACUUUCAGUGGGGAAGAAGGCAUGAUGAUUAAUACUCGUCAUGAAGGACAUCACCCACAGAAGAAGCACCGGCUAACUCCGUGCCAGCAGCCGCGGUAAUACGGAGGGUGCAAGCGUUAAUCGGAAUUACUGGGCGUAAAGGGCGCGUAGGCGGCUUGCCAAGCCGGAUGUGAAAGCCCCGGGCUCAACCCGGGAACGGCAUUCGGAACUGGUAGGCUAGAGUGCAGGAGAGGAAGGUGGAAUUCCCGGUGUAGCGGUGAAAUGCGUAGAGAUCGGGAGGAAUACCAGUGGCGAAGGCGGCCUUCUGGACUGACACUGACGCUGAGGCGCGAAAGCGUGGGUAGCAAACAGGAUUAGAUACCCUGGUAGUCCACGCCGUACACGAUGUCGACCAGCCGUUGGACCCCUUGAGGGUUUGGUGGCGCAGUUAACGCAAUAAGUCGACCGCCUGGGGAGUACGGCCGCAAGGCUAAAACUCAAAUGAAUUGACGG
rnacentral:rRNA from 2 species